UUUUCUUUGUUUACUCUGCGGAUGGUUAUUUGUCCUAGGUCUAGUGACAAUGAUACUAUUUCAGAGUUUGCUAAUUUGCUUUAUUUAAAUGAAGGCAAGAUUACAGUUCAAAUGAAGCAAGUUUGGAAUUGGUUCCAAAAUAGGCGAUAUGCUAUAAGGGAAAACUAAGUAAAGCUCCUGGGAAGUUAAAUGUGUCUCCUAUGCCUUGGGAUGAUUCAACUCCAGUGAGAAAUGUGCCUCAGUCAAUUUCUGCCCCUAUACCUGCUCCUUCAGGUUCUUCAACGAAUUUUACAUUUGAGGCAAUACAAUGGGCGUGUUUCUUUUGUGCCUGAACCUGGCUUUGAAACCUAUGGAGAGCCAACUAGUUACCCCAACAAAUCUACUGGCAAGCCUAAUAGCUGUAGUACAAGUGAAGAGGAGUCUAUUAAGGUUCGGCAUCAUGGUUACCAAGGACCUAAUAUUGACUUGGAGAAUGCAUAUGGUGCUAAAGAAGGCCCACUAUGAAGUUAUA